UACGAAGGGGGCUAGCGUUGCUCGGAAUUACUGGGCGUAAAGCGCACGUAGGCGGAUCUUUAAGUCAGGGGUGAAAUCCUGGAGCUCAACUCCAGAACUGCCUUUGAUACUGAGGAUCUUGAGUUCGGGAGAGGUGAGUGGAACUGCGAGUGUAGAGGUGAAAUUCGUAGAUAUUCGCAAGAACACCAGUGGCGAAGGCGGCUCACUGGCCCGAUACUGACGCUGAGGCACGAAAGCGUGGGGAGCAAACAGG
rnacentral:rRNA from 1 species